rnacentral:rRNA from 1 species
CGUGGAGCGAUUUGUCUGGUUUAUUCCGAUAACGAGCGAGACUCUAGCCUACUAAAUAGUCUGCACAUUGCUUUUGUGCUGCAGCACUUCUUAGAGGGAUUUUCGGUGUACAGCCGCACGAGAUUGAGCAAUAACAGGUCUGUGAUGCCCUUAGAUGUCCGGGGCUGCACGCGCGCUACACUGGCGAAAUCAGCGUGCCUGUCCUUUCCCGAAAGGGAUCGGUAAACCAUUGAAAAUUUGCCGUGAUUGGGAUCGAAAAUUGCAAUUAUUUUUCGUGAACGAGGAAUUCCAAGUAAAUGCGAGUCAUCAACUCGCGUUGAAUACGUCCCUGCCCUUUGUAC